UCCCAGGUGGCUCAGUGGUAGAGAAUCUGCCUGUGAAGCAGCAGAUGUGGGGUAUAUACCUGGGAU
rnacentral:tRNA from 1 species